CCUACGGGUGGCUGCAGUGGGGAAUAUUGCGCAAUGGGCGAAAGCCUGACGCAGCGACGCCGCGUGAGGGAUGAAGGUCUUCGGAUCGUAAACCUCUGUCAGCAGGGAAGAACGGUCACUGUGCUAAUCAGCAGUGAAUUGACGGUACCUGCAAAGGAAGCACCGGCUAACUCCGUGCCAGCAGCCGCGGUAAUACGGAGGGUGCGAGCGUUAAUCGGAAUUACUGGGCGUAAAGCGCUCGUAGGCGGUAUGUCAAGUCAAGGGUGAAAUCCCCGCGCUCAACGUGGGAACUGCCUUGGAAACUGGCAAACUGGAGUGUGUGAGAGGAUAGUGGAAUUCCAGGUGUAGGGGUGAAAUGCGUAGAUAUCUGGAGGAACAUCAGUGGCGAAGGCGACUAUCUGGCACAUAACUGACGCUGAGGAGCGAAAGCGUGGGUAGCAAACAGGAUUAGAUACCCUAGUAGUC
rnacentral:rRNA from 1 species